rnacentral:tRNA from 1 species
GGUUCUGUGGUGUAGAGGUUAUCACGUCUGCUUUACACCUUGAAGGUCGCGAGUUCAAACCUCGCCAGAACCU